UAAGCGGAGGAAAAGAAACUAACAAGGAUUCCCCUAGUAACUGCGAGUGAAGCGGGAAAAGCUCAAANUAAANUCUGGCGGUCUUUGGCCGUCCGAGUUGUAAUUUAGAGAAGCGUCUUCCGCGCUGGACCGUGCACAAGUCUCCUGGAAUGGAGCGUCAUAGAGGGUGAGAAUCCCGUCUUUGGCACGGAUGCCUGGUGCUUCUGUGAUGCGCUCUCGAAGAGUCGAGUUGUUUGGGAAUGCAGCUCAAAAUGGGUGGUGAACUCCAUCUAAAGCUAAAUAUUGGCGAGAGACCGAUAGCGAACAAGUACCGUGAGGGAAAGAUGAAAAGCACUUUGGAAAGAGAGUGAAACAGUACGUGAAAUUGUUGAAAGGGAAACGCUUGAAGUCAGUCGCGUCGACCGAGACUCAGCCUUGCCUUGGCUUGGUGUACUUCUCGGCCCGACGGGUCAGCAUCAAUUUUGCCCCUCGGAUAAUGGCAGGGGAAAGGUGGCACCUUUACGGGUGUGUUAUAGUCUCCUGUCGAAUGCGAGGGGUGGGAUUGAGGAACUCAGCGCGCACCUCAGUGUCGGGGCUUCGGCCCACGUCACGCGCUUAGGAUGCUGGCGUAAUGGCUUUAAACGACC
rnacentral:rRNA from 1 species